rnacentral:rRNA from 1 species
AGUGAACGCUGGCGGUAGGCCUAACACAUGCAAGUCGAACGGCAGCACAGUAAGAGCUUGCUCUUACGGGUGGCGAGUGGCGGACGGGUGAGGAAUACAUCGGAAUCUACUUUUUCGUGGGGGAUAACGUAGGGAAACUUACGCUAAUACCGCAUACGACCUACGGGUGAAAGCAGGGGAUCUUCGGACCUUGCGCGAUUGGAUGAGCCGAUGUCGGGUGAGCGAGUUGGCGGGGUAAAGGCCCACCAAGGCGACGAUCCGUAGCUGGUCUGGGAGAAUGAUCGUCCACACUGGAACUGAGACACGGGCCAGACUCCUACGGGAAGCAGCAGUGGGGAAUAUUGGACAAUGGGAGCAAGCCUGAUCCAGCAAUACCGCGUGGGUGAAGAAGGCCUUCGGGUUGUAAAGCCCUUUUGUUGGGAAAGAAAAGCAGCAGGUUAAUACCCCGCUGUUCUGACGGUACCCAAAGAAUAAGCACCGGCUAACUUCGUG